rnacentral:rRNA from 1 species
AACACAUGCAAGUCGAACGGGCGAUUGAAAGCUUGCUUUGAUGAGCCUAGUGGCAAACGGGUGAGUAACGCGUAGGCAACCUGCCCUCAGGAUGGGGACAACGGCCCGAAAGGACCGCUAAUACCGAAUGAAGUGUCGGAAUCGCAUGAUACUGAUACCAAAGGCGGAGCAAUCCGUCACCUGAGGAUGGGCCUGCGUCUGAUUAGGUAGUUGGUGAGGUAACGGCCCACCAAGCCGACGAUCAGUAGCCGGUCUGAGAGGAUGAACGGCCACAUUGGGACUGAGACACGGCCCAGACUCCUACGGGAGGCAGCAGUGGGGAAUCUUCCGCAAUGGGCGAAAGCCUGACGGAGCAACGCCGCGUGAGUGAAGAAAGGUCUUCGGAUCGUAAAGCUCUGUUGUCGGGGACGAAGGGGCAGAUCAGGAAAUGGGUCUGCUUAGACGGUACCUGACGAGGAAGCCACGGCUAACUACGUGCCAGCCGCAGC